rnacentral:lncRNA from 1 species
AAGUAACUAAAGAUCUUUGCAUCAUUAAAACAAAAAAUAUAUAUCCAUGCAUCAUUUACAUUAAAAAAAACAAAAAAAACUCAUCAUCCACCCCUUUCUUGAUCAGAAACCCAAGAUACAAGCUGAUUUCCCGACACCAUUACAACACUCGCCACAAUCAACAAGCAAUGAUAGACCAGUUGGAACAAAAUCGAGCCGCCCUCCGCGAGGAAGUGUCUCAAGUAAGAUCCCAAAUGGGACAAUUGAUGGAAACGAUCCAAGCAAUC